rnacentral:lncRNA from 1 species
UUACCACAAUGCUUCAGACCAAGGAAAGCCACCUUCCCAGAGAGAAUCCCCAGCUCCCUGCAAUGACUGACAUGGACCCACAGUCCUUGAGGAAUCGCCACACUGUCUUCAUCAAAAACGAUGAGUUUGUGUCCCUUGUAGGGACAAGGAGGAACCUGGAGACCAUCAUUCUCAGCAAACUGACACAAGAACAGAAAAUCAAACACUGCAUGUUCUCACUCAUAGAUCACUGCUGUUUCUUUGAGAAGUAGCUCUUGGCCUUAGUGGAGACUGAACACCUAACCAUGGGUCACUGAGCUGCAAUCGGAACUGCCCACCAUGAGCUGGGUUUUGUCUGAUCCACCAAGCCAAAGCUGGAGUACACAGCAGCUCUCUGUUACCAAAGGGAAGUGGGAUGUCAGUGAUGACACCCAUGUGCCCUCAGAAAGGAACCAAUCAACUACAUGAAGAAGUGGCCCAAAGGCCCAUGGUUUUCACCCGUACAAUGCUGCCCUCGCUCUUCUGCACCUAUGGCCUCGUGGGGAGUUCCCUACAAUAAGAUGAGAGGAAGACUCAGGCCCGGUUUAUGGAUGGUUCUGCAUGAUUUUCAGGCACCAUCUGAAAGUGGAGGCUGCAGUACCACAGACCCUCUCUGGGACAUCCCUGAAGGUCAGUGUUGAAGGGAAGUCCCCCCAAUGGGCAGAACUUGGAGCAGUACACCUGGUGGCUCACUUUGCUUAGAAGGAGAAGUGACCGUAUGUGUAAUUAUAUACCUAUUCAUGGGCUCUAGCUAAUAGCUUGGCUGGUGGUCAGAGACUUGGAUAGAACAUGAUGGGAAAAUUGAUGACAAGGAAAUUGGUGGAGGAGAUAGGUGGACAGAGCUCUUUGAAUGGUCAAAGACAUGAAGAUAUUUGUUUCAUGUAAAUGCUCACAAAAAGUGACCUCAAUAGAGAAGGACUUUAAUAAUCAAAUGGUUAGAAAGACCUGCUGUGUGAGUAGCAGUCAGCCUCCUUCCCUAGCCACCCUGUCAUCACCCGAUGGGCUCAUGAGCAAAGUCACAGUGGUGGCAGGGGUGGAAGUCAUGCAUGGUCUCAGCAACUCACCAAGGCUGGCCUGGCUCUAGCCACUGCCGAGUGCCCAUCAAUCAUAUGCAGAGACUGUCACUAAGCCCCUCAUAUGGCACUAU